rnacentral:rRNA from 1 species
AAUGAACGCUGGCGGCAUGCCUAACACAUGCAAGUCGAACGACAGCAUCGGGAGAGCUUGCUCUUACGGGUGUCGCGUGGCGGAAGCGUGACGAAUACAUCGAAUUCCUCUCUUUCGGGGGUGAUAACGCAGGAUAACUUCCUCUAACACAGCAUAUGUCGCACGGGUGAGUGCAGGCGAUCUUUGAACUUUUUGUUAUUGUAAGAGCCGAUGCCGGAUUAGCUAGUUGGCUGGGUAGAGGGCCAGCUAAGCGACGAUCCGUAGCGGGUCUGACGGGGUGAUCAGCCAGACUGGAACUGAGACACGGUCCAGACUCCUACGGGAGGCAGCAGUAGGGAAUCUUAGGCAAUGGGCGAAAGCCUGAUCCAGCAAUACCGCGUGAGUGAUGAAGGCCUUCGGGUUGUAAAGCGCUGUUGGUGGGAAAGAAGAACAGCAGGUUUAUCCGGGACUGUUCUGACGGUACCGAAAGAAUAAGCACCGGCUAACUUCGUG